GGAGGGUGCAACGCGUUGUUCGGAAAUUACUGGGCGAAACGCGCGUGUACGGUGGUUGAGUAAGUCGAAAUGCGAAAGCCCCGGGCUCAACCCGGGAAGUGCAUCCGAAACUGCUCGACUAGAGUCCCGACACGAAGGCAGAAUUCCCAAUGUAGGGGUGAAAUCCGACAUAUUGGGACGAAUACCGGUGGAAGGCGGCCUUCUGGACGGUGACUGACACUCAGACGCAAAAGCGUGGGGAGCAAACAGGUUAGAUACCCUGGUAGUCCACGCUGUAAACGUUGCGAACUAGGUGUCGGGGGUAUUCACCCCUCCGGUGCCGAAGCUAACGUCUUAAAUUCGCCGCCUGGGAAGUACGGCCGCAAGGCUA
rnacentral:rRNA from 1 species